AACGAACGCUGGCGGCAUGCCUAACACAUGCAAGUCGAACGAGACCUUCGGGUCUAGUGGCGCACGGGUGCGUAACGCGUGGGAACCUGCCCUUAGGUUCGGAAUAACUCUCAGAAAGGGGUGCUAAUACCGGAUCAUGUCUUCGGACCCAAGAUUUAUCGCCUUUGGAUGGGCCCGCGUUGGAUUAGCUAGUUGGUAGGGUAAAAGCCUACCAAGGCGACGAUCCAUAGCUGGUCUGAGAGGAUGAUCAGCCACACUGGGACUGAGACACGGCCCAGACUCCUACGGAAGGCAGCAGGGGGGAAUAUUGGACAAUGGGCGAAAGCCUGAUCCAGCAAUGCCGCGUGAGUGAUGAAGGCCUUAGGGUUGUAAAGCUCUUUUACCCGGGAUGAUAAUGACAGUACCGGGAGAAUAAGCACCGGCUAACUCCGU
rnacentral:rRNA from 1 species